CACGUAGUUAGCCGGUGCUUAUUCUUACGGUACCGUCAUGACCCGGGGAUAUUAGCCCCAGGCUUUUCGUUCCGUACAAAAGCAGUUUACAACCCGAGGGCCUUCAUCCUGCACGCGGCAUUGCUGGAUCAGGCUUUCGCCCAUUGUCCAAUAUUCCCCA
rnacentral:rRNA from 1 species